CUGCACAUAAAUGUCCAUUUGCAUUCGAGAAGGUAAUUGAUCGUAUUUUAUUUCAAAGAUUCUAGCUUUUGUUGUCUAAAGCUGUGCUGUCCGAAAAUAGUAGCCAUUUGCCACAUAGAACUAAUAAUCUCAUUCGGAUGAAGUAAGACUUAAAAUCUGGUUUCGCCAUCAGACUAGCCAUAUUCCAGGUGUUCGGCCACCACGUGUGGCCAUGGGUGGUGCAGAUACGGCAUGUUUCCACCAUCACAAGAAUGUCUGGAUGGCACAGCUCUAAAGCAACAGAUUCUAUUUUCAGGGGCUCUCGAAGUCAAAUUGUUGUAUCCAAACCUUGAAAGUUUAUUUCGCGUGUGAAAAUAUUCAGUUCCUUUGAUUCAUCGUGCUAAGGAAGAACAUAGUGGUGUCUUUGUGAAGCACCAGAAAUGGUUAAUAUCUGACAAAGAACCUAAUCUGGAAGCCAUUAAAAAUGCUAGUUUAUUUGGGUGACUUCACGGCCGCUGUUUAGUGGCAAAUAGUACAUUGUAGAAACAGGAAGACGAGGACUCUAAGAAGACCUACGUGCAUGAGUCCGAAGGAGUGACACCUUGUUAUUGGCUUUGCAGGUGGCUCUUGACCUGUAUUCGUUUUGUUUCUGGUGGUUCUGAGGUUUUGUUUUGUUUUUUUUUUUAAGUUUAUUUAUUUUGAGAGAGCAUGAGCAGGGGAAGGGCAGAGAGAGAGAGAAAGAGAGAGAAUCCCAAGCAUGCUCUAUGCUGUCAGCGCAGAGCCCGUUGCAGAGCUUGAACCCAUCAGGUGCCCCCGCUUGAGCCGCUCAGGUGCCCGAUUCAGAGGUUAUUUUAGUGAACUCUAUAGCCUGAGUGUUGCUUCCUUGAGGUGGCAGUUGGAAAGGUGAAUGACUUAUUAGCAUUAUUACAUGCUUCCAUUAGUGUUGGCUGGGGUCUGACCUUCCAGCGUUUUCUAGGUCAUUGGGGGGGCGGGGGUGGGUGACUCCUAUUUACCAGGCCCCGAUGACUAGGCCAAACUAUCCAGUUGAUUUGUUGACUUGACCUCCCCACGUCCCUAGAUAGGGAGAGUCUGGCUAGACAUCAGUAGUAAUGCCUUAUUUGGCACAGAGUUGUCAACUGAGGGAGUGUUCCUGGCGACCCUGCGGCUUGACCCAGACGGCAGGCCUCCUCACUCUGUGAUGACACGUUUGGAUGUCAGUUGUCACGUCCGUCCGUUUUCUUGCUGAGCUUAGUUUCCUUAGCUCCUGCCCUGGCUCUGAGGUUUUUAACUGCUGGGCGCGCAUCUGCUGGGCGCUUGGUUCUUCCCUAUAGAGCCCCUCCCCCGCCGUCUGCUUGGGUGGCUGUUAAUGAACCUGAGAGCUCAGCCUAGCUGUGUGCUCUCCAAUCAGCCGCGUGCGUCUCUCUGCGGGUGAAAGCCACAAAAGGAUCAGGCGGGCUGUUGGCAGUUGAAGGGAACCGGAGGCUGUUCACGGUAGUGUUCUCUUCCGUUCUCUCUGUUCCGGAGGUGUCCGGGCUGGCUCCCCACCUGCCAGGGCGGUGCUGGAUGAACGGCCCUGCUGCCCUGAGACCAGAUCCGUUUCACCAGCUUUUCUUUGGCUGCCUUUCACCGUCUCAGGGCCGUGUCCACAGCUGGUUAACAGUCUGUUAUGUUUAAAUUCUACUGGAUUCCACUUCCUGUCCUGAAUCUGUAGGGAAGCCUUACUAUUCAUCCUCAGGGGUAACAACGCCGUCUUCUAAUGAACAGUUGGAAUAUCCGUGCUUGUCCUCUAUUUGAUUUUCAAUGCACUAUACCUUUUCCUUUUGUGAGUUUUGUCUGAAUCUGGAAUAUGAUUUUAUAUCAUUAUUUUUGGGACGUUCGGGUCCCAGUAUGCCCACUUUGUAACAAACCAGUACCAGUAAAAAAGGGAGAGAUCUCAGAUGUGGUGAUUGGUGAGCACAUUGAUUGAGAGUGUAGCUGUCAUCCUCGGAAGAAAGAGAAGGUGAGGACAAAUUCUGUCCACUCUGUGAAUGGGGAUUUUUUUCCGUAGGGGGGAAAGGUCCAUUAUCUAACUAUGAUCCGUAGUCCUAAUCGUCUGCUUACAGAUGAAACCUUAGUGACGUCAGUGCUUCCCCGAGUAGUGGACGGCAUGGGCUUUUACAGAUACGGAAACGUAUUUUCUAAAUAUGAGAGUCUCUGCUAGGAUCUGCUGCUUCUAUAGGAAUUUCAUACUUUGUCUCCCAAAGUGAAGAGCUAAUGUGGUUUCUAGAACCGUUUGGUUAAGGUGAGCUUUUAUUAGCUGCUCCUAGUGAAACGUAAAAGGAUAUAUACAAUUUGACCUUGCAGCGUUCUUCGUGAGAGUUGUACGUUUGUUCACUUGGAGUAAAUCAUGCCAGUGAAAAUAGCAGGCCCCAUUCUCCUCACCAGUCUUGGUCGCUUGGGGUCCGUCCUUUUCUCCAGGUGAGUGCGCUGUUGUGUCUCGGGUUUGUCUUAUUCCCUUGUAGUCGUGGGCAUCGUUAGCUGGUUCGGCACGGUGUAGGCUGAGCAUGGGCUACCGGCCCCAUUGCUACGCUGCCACCUGUCUGGCUGCCCGCCCCCGCCCCGCCCUGGAGACGAGUGGGGUCCCUGCACAGGCCUUCCGGGGCUCGUCUCUCUGAGGACACAGCUGAGCGAUUCUGUCUGUAUUUCUCUUAAGGCUAGAUCCAAGUUUCCCUACUUUCUGUGUCUCGUGUUUUUUUUCUUAGUUUUUCCCUGAUGUGUGGGGAGGCCCAUGCCCCCGCUGCUCCCCGGGAAGGACUGUGGAAGAUAAAUAAAUGGAGGCCGUGUACCUCGCCGGAUCUUCAUUCUUGGUUUCCCCUGGCUUAGCGGCAUGAGGCAGCAGCCAGGCUCUGAAUUCUUCAUUUGGGUACUUACCCUGUUCAUUUCCUCACUUGCGCUGUUGCCGUAGACAAUUCCGUGUAGUUGUUCUACCGCGGUCCUUUGUGGGGCCAGUUUGCUUCUGGCAGUUGAAGGACCUCCCCCUCGUCCCAGAGUCUGGAAGCUUCCCACCGAGUGUUCCUGGUGUAGAUCCCUCUUCAUCUGUCACACUAGGCAGGCAGUGGGCCCUUCCAAACCGCAAAUUCCAGCGCUUCCGACUGGAGUUUGGAUUCUUUGAUAUUCUCUAGCCUUCUGUUCCUUAGGUGCUGCCCUUUCUGGAUCGGUCUCCUUUUUUUCCCCCUGAAGUUUUCUUUCCCUGUGAAAUCUGUGUCCAGGGUAUUUUCUGUGCGUCACAGUACAUGUCCUCCUCCGUGCCCGAUCUGCUGGCUGCCCACUCGCACAGUUGGUGCAGUGUGAACUCUGGCCUUUGCUCUGGGGCAUCUGACCGGCCCACUUUCUCGGGAAAGCCUGGAGCCCUAGGACGUCGGGGUCUUUCUCUUAGGCUGAUCAGGUUCCCUGGAGAAGGUGGGGUUCUGUUCUGUUCCCUGCCUGGGGAGAGCACACUGUGGCUUCCAGAAUCAUGGAGCCAGGUGGACAGAGCACUCGCCUCUCCCCUUCGUGGAGCACAAGCUCCUUGCUUCCUUCUGCGUGCCCCUCCCAUGUCUGUGGGGGUCCUCCUGCCCGUUGCUCCCCAGGCCAGAGCCUCUGUGAGACCCUCUGCGGAGCAUCCGUCUUGUGCCAGCGUUGGGUGGAGGUCUGAUUCUCGCCCUCUCCCAUUGUGGUCCCACGUCACCCUCACCUGCCGGCACUGCUGAUGUCUGAGCCUUUGAGGGUUUUGUUUCAUGAAGAGGGGUGCUUCUUGACUUUCCCCACCAGCUCACAAUUUGGCUUUCUCACUUUGCCAAGCUCAUUGUUGUCGGGUGCUUUUUUCUCUAAAAUCUCGUUAACUCUUUUUUCUCUCGAUCUUGUGGAUUUAUCCCUUUCCAAAAAAAUCUGUUUCCUGUCGUUUCAAGGAGACUUCAGCAGAAGGCACGUGUCUAUGUGCCCUUUCCUCUUGGACCGCACUUUCUCAGAGCCUCUCGGGCCUUCCGGGGGCUGGUCUGGGCCAGCUCCGCAGCUCGCCCUUCCCGAAGGCCCUCCCAGGUUACUCGGGUUGUGUUUCGGAGACGCCCUGCUUAUGCUCCAUAGGCAGUGAUUGCAGGAAGUAAGCAGAAAGCCUAUUAACCCCUUACUUGCUGCUCUCGGCCUCCAGCACGAGAGAGCAGCCCAGCACACAAAACCCUUUCUUGACCAGCCGACCCCAGUCUCCCCACAACCCCGAUCUGUUCCCGCUGCUCUGGCCGUUUGGUGGUGUGCUUUUCCCUUCAGGCCCUCUGGGAGCUCUACUAAAACCUCCCUGCGUCUAUACAAGACCACAGCUCCCCUCGCUCUGCUUCCCCCCCCCGCACUGACAAGGCCCUCCUCUUUCUUGGCUCACCGCAGAUUCAUGACCCAAGCCCACCCCAGGGCGGGCAUGUCCUCCUUUGCUCCCCUGAAGCAGGCCCUCUGCUCCCUGCACUGGGUGUGCAUGCUCAGGUGACUUGAGGCAGUCCACAGCUGCCCGUCCUUGCCGGAAGGCUGCCCUUAGGCCACUAAGUGAGCAUCUCUUGGCUGCCACCCUUAGCUCACAGCGCCAGCAGUGCCUGGGAGUCUAUACCACUCCCUCCCGUUAAAAGAAAACAAAAAAACCCUUCAGUAACCGAUGGGAAUAGGGGCUAUAGAUCUUCAGCUCCCUGGAAUGUCCCCAGAGCCUCCCGAGUCAGCUCCCCUCGGUGGGACUGUGCGCCAUGCCGUGGGCUUGGCCUCCUUCCCUCCGUCCCCAGUCCCCACUCCGAACUCUCCUAGGUCUGAAGGGUUUUUGCUGAGGACACGUCCAGGUGCCUCGUGUGAAGACCAACUUAACGCACUGCUUUCUAUUACUUGCUAAAACCUUUUAGUUAGUAUCUGCGUUUGCCCGACAGUAAGAUGUUUGUGUAAAGUCUUGGCGUUUUUAUUUCUUGUAGCUAAGAACUGAUUCUAGUUUAAAUGCUGGCAGUCUUAUUGGGUGUUUGUUAAAUAAUUGCUUAUGGAAGCAAUUGAAAUGCCCAGUUGGUUCCGUCAGUGGGACAUGUGACUCUUGACAGCAGGGUUAUGAGUUCAAGCCCAUGUUGGGUGGAAAGAUUACUUGAAACAAUAAAAAAAAAGAAACGUUAAAGCAGCCCUUGCUUUCUCAGAUUUUUAUAUGCUGGCGCUCAAAAGAGGGGUGCAGGAAGGAGAUGCUGCAGGUGAUUUGUGACCAGGGCCGCGGCAGUUUCCGUAUUCAGCGUAGACACCCUCUGGAUCACAGCUGCCCACGCGGGAACCUUGCCGUCAGUGUAGCCGGGUGAGCAGAGCGGCUGAGCUGGGACGUGCUGGCCCGCGUACACGGACCCGGAACCCUCACGGUGGGGAUAGGGUACCUUUGAGCAUUGCACUGAACUAAGUUGUUGACGUGAAAUAUUUGUUGUAGAGACUUGGAUAAAUAUAAUCUAAAUUAAAGUUGGAUUCUAGUUGUGUUGUUUUCUUGUGGCCGCCAGAGCAAAGUACCACGGCCUGGGCUGCUUACGCCACAGAAGUUCAUUGUCUCCCUGCUCUGGAGGCUGGAGUCCAAGAUGGGGGUGUGGCGGGUUCCUCCCCGAGGUUCUGGGGAGAUGCCACUCUGGGCCGCUCCCCCCACUGUGGGUGGUUUGCAGGCUGCCUCUCCCCAACCUCUCUGUCUGUCACACGGGUUUUCCUUAUGUGUCGCUGUCCAGGUGUCAUCUUUUUUUUUUUUUUCUAAAAUUUUUUUUUUAAUAUUUGUUUAUUUUUGACAGAGAGAGAGACACAGUGCAUGAGCGCGGGAGGGGCAGAGAGAGAGGGAGACACAGAAUCUGAAGCAGGCUCCAGGAUCCGAGCUGUCAUCACACAGCCCGACGCGGGGCUCGAACUCACGGACCGCGAGAUCAUGACCUGAGCCGAAGUCGGACGCUCAACGGACUGAGCCACCCAGGCGCCCUGGGGCGUCUUCUUUUGAUGAGGACACAGUCAUGUUGGAUUAGGAUCCCACCCUUUUCCACUCUGAGCGCAUCUCCUCUGAUUACAUCUCCGAUGACCUUACUUCCAAACAUCACGUUCUGAGGUCCUGUUUAAGACGCAUCGGCCUAUCUUUCUGUGGGGACACGAUUCAACCCACUCGCUAGUAGUGUAACCAAGAGCACCUUCCUCAAGUCAGUAGAAACAUCUCCCUAAACCUGCUGUUGAAGGAAAGCGGAAGGGUAACCGUCUUUUAGUUUCUGCUUAUUUCUCGCAUUGUCUGUGCCCGAGCCGGGUUGACGGGUGAGUGCCCUGGCUCCCUAACUGAGCACGUGGCUCUCCGGGUAAGCCGACGGAGGGGUCGUGACUGCUGGUCCAACCUUUCUGUGUAGGUGUGCAGCUGCCAGAGCCUCUGAUUCCGAGCCAUCCAAGCCGUCGGGAGCCCUGAAUACGUCGUCUUCCAGUUGGCUAGCUCAGCGACUCAGGUACUGGUCCGAACGGUGUGCACAGAUUCACUUGCCUUGUCCUGGGUGUGGCGGUUCUUGUCGGGUGAGCACGGAAAAGUCGGUGCAGUACAGGUACUAACUGAGUGGUUCAAAUUCUGUACUCCGAGUUAUGUACUCCUGGCACACGGCUUAGACUAGGCAGGGUGAUCGAGAGUCUGGAUUGGAGCUUUCUUGAGCUCCGGAUUAUCAGUGCAAUUUAUUCCAGCACAGAGCGGAUCACACGGUUGGCGUUUUAUAGCUGUUUCUGAAAUACAGAUCUUUUAUAUGAUCAGCUGCUCCGGGUUAGUCAAGAUGGACCUAAAAAAAUAAGCUGUUGUUUUGUUCUCUUUCAGAUGGAAAGUAAAGAGAUGAUGUGACUCCGUCCACAUGGAGACAUUAGCUUGUGUUGCGUAUUUUAACUUUACAGACCGUGUUUGUGCUGUAGCGCCUUUACGCUUCUCAUGGCAAACAGUCUGGAAUGUCAUUAAAACUUUUCCAGUAAAAUGUGCAAAUUUUGGCAAAACAAACAGAAGGGUAUCGAUAUUCUGAGCUUGGCUAAACUGCGUCAGCCCCUGCUUCCUCCCUCCUGCCCCCAAAUGAAGUGACGUGGAGAGCAAAGGGCCUGAGUAUUACCCGGCCUGAGUCCCGCAAGAACCUGGCACUGUGGAGGCCUCUGUCCCUUACAUACCCGCACAGCUGAUGGCACUCUGUCUUUAUCAGUGGCUUCCGUGGUGACCGCCCCUGGAGCCCAGAAGAAGGGGGAGGCCUUGGGCCUACUUGGCUAAGGG
rnacentral:lncRNA from 1 species